UUGUUGUUUUUGAUCUUUUUGUUGUUUUGUUGUUGUUUUGUUGUUGAUCUUUGUUUUAAUUUAAGAUUUUCUUUUUUUACAAAGGGGAAACAGUUUAUUUUCCUCUUAUUUUUAUAAAAACAUUACCUACUCAUUGUAAAAUAUCCAAGCCAUACAAAAAGGUAUAAAGAAGAAAAAAAUCUUCUGAAAUUUCACUAUGCAGUGUUAAACCCUAGGUAUGUAGGUUUUCCUCUCUCCAUCCUAUCCUCCCUCCCUUCCUAUUAUCUAUAUAUCUAUUUAUCUAUCUAUCAUAUUUAUCUAAAAAUGUCAAUAGAUACACAUGCAUGGGGAAAAAAACAUAAUAUUAGAGAAUGACAUAAAACAAAAAGCAAAGUUCCCUUCUCUGUUCUUUUGCAUUCCUAAACAAGUUUUCCAGAGGUUAAAUGUUUGUUUUCUCAUUCAAUUAUUUACAUAGAUAACUCCAAAUAACAUGAUUUUACUGAUAUUUUCUUGGUUUAUCAACUUGAAUAUCAUUGGUUGACUCUCAGCUAUAGAGAGUAAAGAUUUAGUUCACUCAUUUACUUCCUAUAUCUUUUUCCUUCCUAUAGUUUUAAUAAUUAUAUUACUAUUUUGAUUUCUAUUUGUUACUUUCUAGCUUUAAAUAUUUUAUAUAUAUUUUCAGAUUUUUUUCUUUUUUUCAUUAUUACAGUUUAAGUUCUGAGAUACACAUGCAGAACAUGCAGGUUUGCUACAUAGGUAUAUACGUGCCAUGGUGCUUUGCUGCACCCAUCAACCCGUCAUCUGCAUUAGGUAUUUCUUUGAAUAGUAUCAUAUACUAUACAAACCCUGGUAUAGUUAUAAAAUAAAAUAUUGUUAAUUAAGCCAAUCCAUGGGAAUGGUAAAGAUCGAAUUGACUUCCAAAGUAUGGAUCAGAUAAGACAAAAUAAUAUGUAAUUCUGCUUCUGUUUUCUGUAAGUCAGUAGUGGCAUUGGUUCAGUUUUUCUCUUAAGCCUCCUCAGGAAAGAAGUACUCUGGGAGAAUCCCUCUACAUAAAACAGGAGAGAUUAAGAGCUUUCUGAGUUUGCUGAUGAUUAUUGUGAUUGGGUAAUUAGCACCAGAGAGGAAAGAAUUACAGUAUAAAUAAUGCUAACAAUGAAAAGUAGCUAGACACCACUUGAAUGAAGAACAGGACUUACAAGGCUUAGAUGGGCAGCUACAUGAGUCUAAGAGGAAAAAGAUCUUAGAAUCAUAGUGGAGAUCAGUUUAACAAAAUAAAAUCAGAAAAAAAUAUAAAAAGCAUUAAAAAUUCCAUGAGACUUUGCAUAAGUCUACUGUAAGGUUUUAAGAAGGAGUUUACCAACCCCAUGGGAAACAAGAAAAUAAAAAAGGAAGCAGUUUGAUGCAUUUUUGGGAAAGGCAAAUAUGAAAUGAAAACUGAUACAAAGAAUGAAAGCGUUUGUAAAACUAUACCCAUGAGAAACUAGGAAUACUAAAAACAAAUAAAGAAGAGAAGACUUAAUGACUUCUAAGAUAAUAAUAUAUGUUAUGAUUAUUAGAAUUUACACAACUCCAGAGAGAACAGAGCCUAAGAAGUAUCUUGAGAGGUUUAAAGAAUAAUGGGUGAUAAAAUCAUUCUUAAGGGGAGAUGUAGUUAAAUACUAGAAUGAUAAUAUCAUAGACUCUGCUUCAAUGACACCAUUAUAAAGUCGAUUAAAAUUCAUGUGCCAUAAUAGGAAGAUCCUAAAAUGAGACAGAAAUAAACUAUAAGUUCUCUCCUAUUCUUAUAACUUCAUAAUAAUAUCCCAUGGAAUUACUAGUAAACUUCAAUUUUAAUGCUCAUUAAAUAUAGGAUACAUUUUAAUGUGUAAUAACAGGCUUAUGUAUUUGGCCAUUUAUAAUAUUUGCUUUGUCAAAACUAACUAAAAUGGCAACAGAUUUACUCUCUUAAACUCACUGUUUCAAUGUUAUAAAAAGUCUUUUUUAUUAAUUGAAUUCCAUCCUUUAAAUGCUGUAAAUGUCCAGCUAAAAAUGCCUCUGUAAAGGUUAAGUAUGCUGGCCAGGUGCCAUGGCUCACGCCUGUAAUCCCAGCACUUUGGGAGGCCCAGGCAGGCAGAUCACUUGAGGUUAGGAGUUUGAGAACAGCCUGGCUAACAUGGUGAAAACCUGUCUCUACAAAAAAAUACAAAAAUUAGCUGGGUGUGGUGGUGGGCACCUGUAACCCCAGCUACUGGGGAGGCUGAGGCAGGAGAAUUGCUUGAGCCUGGGAGGCAGAGGUUGCAGUGAGCUCAGAUAGCGCAACUGUGCUCCAGCCUGGGUGACAGAGAGAGACUCCAUGUCAAAAAAAAAAAGAGAGAGAGAAAAGAAAAAAGUUAUGCUUAAUGUUACAGAUAAACUUUAAUGUGAAUAAAAUAUAAAAAUUUACUUAAAUGGUUACAUCAUUAUUUCAAAAAAUGUAUUAUGUCAAUGAUGUUGGAAGCACUUAACAAUUCAAAAUAAUUGUUCUGUAUUUAAUGGUUAUAAAUGUUUUAUGCUGUAUAAUUAAGUUUAAUUUAGUAUGUAAAUGUUAUUACUGAAAUAUUCUUUGGUACUCGAAAUGAAUUUAAGUAGGUGUUCAUAUUCUGUGGAAUAUUCUAAUAUUAGAUAUUUUUUGAAUUAAAGAGUUUAUUUCCAAAGGAUGGCUCCCCAUAAGUGAGUUUGCAUCUGUUCAGUUUGACACUAAAUGGAAAGGUUUAAUUCAGAGCAGGAUCAUUCCUUGUGUUUAGAUAAUUAGGUGAGAACAAGAUAAAAUUUUGUAAGGUGUAGCUUUCACAAAAUAAGAUCUAUUAAUAAAGAAAGUAGGCGAUUGUUCUAUGCAGAUAAUAGACACAAUGUGUUUUUAUGUAUCCUCUUUUUUAGUAUUAAAAUCCCAUUCAACAUGUGAUUAUAGAGCUAUGAGACUAUAAAAAUAAGUACUGAAAUACCAUUCAGAAAAUUCACCUUGAUAAGCCUAUUCUAACCAUGCUUCCAUGACAUGAAAUAUUUUGGCAACUCCAAUUUAGGAACUGUUUUCAGAGACCGGAUAUGACUCAUAAAAGAAAAACAGCCUCAUUGCUUUAUAUUCACACUUUGCAAAGAAAAAGGGAUAACAUUUUUCUGUACAGAGUAGAUAUUAUGGGGCAAGCUGAGAAAUCAUUCCACAAACUAAAUUCAAAACAAGCACUAAAAAUUAGUCAUCUUCCAAGGUAACACCAGUUAGAAAUGAGCCUCAGAGUGAGGAAUGAUGUAAUGAAAUGGAUAGCUGGUCAAGAUGAUUUUAAAAAUCUCCUCCAACCUUAAGAUUGUUAUUUUUCCUGAUCCAGGAUUCUGUCAAACUCCACCAUACAUAUCAGUUAUUCCUCCUCUGUAGAUGCUUAUGUACAAGUCACUAUCAUCCUUCUGCCACAUACACAUGGUCCAGAGUAAAAUCACUGCUUUAAAGUAAAACAACAUUAACUUUCUGGUAUGUGUGUAUGCAGGUGUGCACACAAGUGGUUGGACUAACAUUAUUCUCUGACUGACCUCACGUGGAGUCAGCACAGAUCAAGAUGGAGAAAUGAGUCUAAAGAAAACUUGCACAAAGAAACCACUGGGAUAUUUAGGGGAGGAUUGCAAGCAUAUGUCCUAUGUACUAAAUGCACAACAUUCUAUACUCCAUUUAGCAGAAAAUACACUCUUCUUUAGUGUGAUAUACACUCUUGGGGCUUUUUCCGUUUUAGUUCACAACCUACAUUAUCCUCCACACAGAUUAUUUUAUAUCAACAUUCUUCAAAUAUCAAUGAUUUCUAUGCCUUUUUAUUUAAAAACACCACAUAUAGCAAGAUAUUAAAAACUAAUAUUUUAUGUUCUAUUAAGAGAGCUAAAAUCUAUUGUAACAUUUUCCUGGCAAAUGCAACUGCCAUUACUGUUUUUCUAAAGUGAUACAUCAGAUUGUUUAACAUAUCAUUAGUCCCAAUAUAAAAGAGGGAGAAAUUUUUGUAGUUAGGCAAUUUUUGUACCUUGUUUCUUGUGUCUAAAAAUUCCAUUUGCAAGUGUACAAAAUUCUACUGAACAAGUAUAAUCAGUACAGAUAAUAUCAUCACUAUAAACCAAGCCAAGUAUACAAAGUACAAAACAACAUGAGGUAAGAUUGCCAGGUUUUUAAUUUGUCUUUUCCAAGUAACAACAUUGCUAAUGCUUACCAUACAUUAUCAAAGGUUGGUACUGCUAGGUCCCGCUGCGUUAAACAUUUAUAAAUUUAUUAUUUGGUUCUUCAAACAUUCGUUUGUAUUUUUUUACCUGAAAUUAUUAUGCAUUUAGCUUUUAUUCAUUUCAAAAAAUUCUACUGCAUUAGGUCUUCAAAGGGAUUUCCAAAGUGUUCAAUUACUUCUAACUGUGGCUUUUUUCUGGCUUUUUUUUUUUUUUUUUUGGAAUAAAGCCAGGUUCCCAGUCUUUGCACUUUUACUCUUACUCUCUUAAUCCACUUGUUCCAGGGCUUGUGAAAAGGGGUUUUCUUUCAUGACUUCCCCAACAGUGAGGGUUCCUUUCUAGCUUUAAAAAAUUCAAGCUUAAAAAAAUUUCAACUGGCAUCUUUAUAAUGCUGUAGCUUUUGCUCAGUGAGGAAUCAAACCCUUUGAACAAUGAAUGCUUGUCUAAAGCAACUAUUCAUAGAAGUACUGCCUUCUGGGGAAUGGGAAAAGUUUUUACCUACUGACAAACGGGAGUAGCAUAACAGAAUAGAACUGCACCCAACGCAAAGUGCCUUGUGUUUUCAGCUCUGAAAUAAGGAGAUCAGUUACCGCCCGUCUGCUAUUGACCCGUUAUAAAAAGUAGAGUGCUGAAGAAUAUCAAACAAGAUCAAGCAGCAGUCCAGAUGAGAUCAUGUGUCUUCUUUUUAAAUGUUUUGAAUUUACAGAUUUUAAAAAUGUUUGGAGAGGCUGAAGGCUUGUCUACAUGUGUGAAUUACAACUUGAUGACGGAGUUUUAGUGAGAGUCUAAGAGACAAAAAGGACAAAUCUUGAGAAAAUUGUCUAGUAUAUAUAAAUAGUUUUAGCACUUACUUCAAAAGUUAGUCUUAUGUUAUAUCAUUUAGGUAUCAAAACUUCCUAAGUCCUCUGAAAAGAAGCCAAACCUCCUGAUGUCUCUUAUUGAGCUUUCUCCAACAGCAGGCUCCUAUGCAUAUAAGAUUGCUCUUCGUUCUGUGCUCACACUAAUUUUCUGUAGCAAAAAUUGUGGCACAGAAUUUCCUUAAUUCAGCAUUUGGAAGCAAUAGGUUUUAAUCCAGCUUUAGGGAGUGGAGAGAGAGCAAUUUAGAACUUUAAAAAAAAUAAGUUUAUAAAAUCAACAUGUAUAAAUGAUGGCCAUUACUACUGCUGAUAAUGUUGAGUUUCUUAGGAGUGGCAAUAAAAGUGCCUUAGCAAUUCAGUUUCUAUAUUUCUUUCUGUUUCUUUAUUAUUCAGUGCCUAUGUCUGAAGCAUGUAGCUUACUGGAGCUUUCUCUCCUCCCUCUGCAUUCCAGAAUUGUCUGGUUUUCCACACUUUAGCACUUCCUAAUGUUAGAUAUAAAAUAAAGAAGUAGACACUCAAACUGCAAUAUUUUACCACUCUUCUAGGUAUUGAAGCAUGAGAAAAAUAAAAGGUUGAUAGUAAAACAUGAAAUGUAGCUGUUUUCAUCUAUCCAACCUCUCUUUUAUUAUUAUUAUCCACAAUUAAGAAUUACAUACAGAUGUCCCUUAAUUUCUGAUGGGAUUAUGUCCCAAUAAACCCUUUAUAAAUUGAAAAUGUCAUGAUUUAAAAAUGCAUUUAAACAACUAACCUACCAAACAUUCUAGCUUGCUUUGCCAGAACACUUUUAUUAGCCUAGAGUAGGCAAAAUCAUCUAACACAAUGCCUAUUUUAUAAUAAAGUAUUGGAUAUCUCAUGUAAGUUAUUGAACACUAACAGUGAAAACUAAAAUUGUUGUGUGGGUACUUGCAGUACGGUUUCUACUGAAUGCAUGUGCCUUUAUGCCAUCUUAAAUUUAAAAAUCCCAAGUCAGACCAUCGUUAAGUCAGAGAGUGUAUAUUGUAAAUAUGUAAGACAUAAUUAUCGUAUUCAGUGGUUCAUUAGAUGACUAAUUUUAAAAGCUUAGGUUUUUUUUUUUAUUUUUUCCUUUAAAGAUGGAGUCUCGCUUUGUCAUCCGGGCUGGAUGUGGUGCGAUCAUAGCUCUGCCUACUCGAACUCCUGGGCUCAAGCGAUCCUCCUGCUUCAUCCUCGCAAGUACCUGGGACUACAGGCACAUGCCACCACACCCAGCUGAGAGCUUAUUUUGUUGGAUACUAGGUAUAUUUGCUUAUAUUGAGAUUGUGUUUUCUUCUUCACUACUAAUACCCUGACUGAAUUAGUGAUAGUCAUGGAAAAAGGUCUUGUAACUUCCUGCAUGUUUUAUUGAUCAUGAGCAGUCUAGUAUAAGUUACAUAAACAAUUAAUAAAAGAAAACUAAAAGCAGAUAUGCCUGUUUGUAGUACUGAUUCUCCACCUGCCAUUUUAAUGCCCUUGGCAAAAGAAAAAUGUUUCUAGAUCUCAUAUGUAUGACUUUGCCAUAGAGACUAACCAGAUUCUAUUUGUCUUUUUCUACCCCACUCAAUGGGAAAUAAGGAUAUGUGGGUAUUUGAAAAGUUGAAAGCAGAUAUUGAUCAUUAUUUUAGUCUUAGACAAGAUAGAGUCCAAGGCAGAAAGCAUUAAAUUAGAUACAAAUUGUCAUUUUAUGCAGAAAAAGAGAAUAUAUAACGAAGGUAUAACAAGCAUGAAACUUCAAGUAGCAGCAGAAACUCAACAUAUCUAAAAUAUAAAUUCUUUUUUAAAAGUAGAACUUAAGCUAGAUAGAAAUAGAAGAAGACUUCAAAUGCAAGACUAAAAUGCAAGACUUUGAUAUACUACUUCAAAUAUUAUUUUGAUAUUUUGAUAAAUUGUUUCAACAUAGAAGACAAAUAAUAAAUUAUAUUAGAAAUAGAAUAACUGUACACUAAACUUUAUGUAAUAGAGUGGUAAAUUUCUUUUCAAAUGUCUAGAGUCCGGCCAGGGUCAGUGGCUCACACCUUUAAUCCCAGCACUGUGGGAGGCCAAGGCAGGCAGAUCACUUGAGGCCUGGAGUUUGAGACUAUCCUGGCCAACAUGGCAGAACCCUAUCUCUAGGAAAAAAAAAAAAAAAGAAAAAGAAAUAGAAAACAAAAACAAAAACGAAAACAAAAAACAAUUAUCUAUAGUCUGUGUAACUGAAAACAGACCACACCAUAAAGAAACAACCGGUACAACAAACCCCCAUGAUGCAUGUUUACCUAGGUAACAAGCCUGCACAUUUACCCUUGAACAAUAAAGUUAAAAAAAAAGGAAAAAAAGAGAAGAUUUUUUUAAAAUCUAAAUAAAUUACCAAAGCAGAUAUUGCAUAUACUAAAUAUAAUCUUUGACAAAGAUACACUAAAAUUUGAAAUUAACUUAAUGGUUUUCAAACAGGAAAAACGUAAAGAAAAAAAACAAACCCCAAACAGCCAUUAACUCGAGAUUUAAAUUAUUAUCCUAGUUAUUGGGUCAAAUAAAAAUUAAAAGUAUAGUCACAUGUAUUCAUAAAUUACUGAGCAGAAGGAUGCUGCACAUCAAAAUUAUAUCACAUCACUAAAGCUAUAUGCAAAGGCAAAUGUGUAACAUUAAAUGUUUUCAUUAUUAAAUAAGAAUGAAAAAUCAAUGCACUAAGCAGACCACUCAUAAUUUAUAAAUCAAUUAAUCAGAAGGAAAAAUACAGUAUUAAAUAAGAGCAGAAUUUAAUGAAUUUGGAAAUAUUAAACAAUAUCUUCGUAUUUUUCCUGUUUGUUGGUAUAACCAAUAAAACAAUGUAUUUCAUUACUAAAUCAAGGGGCAUAAUUAUUGAUAUAAUGAAAAUUAAUUUAAAGAAUCCUUGGAAAUCUAAUGAAGAAAAGGAAAUCACAAACACAAAAUCAGAAAGGAUAAAAAUGAAAAUGACCACUAAUAUUUCUUUAGUAUGUAAUAUGUGUCAGGCACUCUUAUAAGAACAUUACCUAUAUUAUUACAUUUAAUGCUCACUUUUAAACCUUGUGAUAUAUGCACUAUUUUUUUCUCGCUCUUUCAGACAUAUGAAGUACUGAAAUACAAAGGGAUUAGGACUGCAAACAAGUUUAUAAGGUAAUAUGUGGUUAGGGCUCUUCCAUGUGCUGAUAUCAAUAUUUCUGCCUAAACUUCCAACUUCAAGUAUGCUGGAUUGUUUCACAUUUGAAUCUAUCUGCUACAUUGCAUUAUGAUAUUCAUUGUAUUCAUGUUUUAUAUCCUUUGUUUUUAAUUUUAAUGGUCAUGUGUGUUUCCCUUUUAUUUAGACUGUAAAUCCUUUAAGUGCAGAAGGAUUUUUCUUUUCUUUUAUCUUUGUAGUCAAAAGGUUUAGCAGAGUGUUUGGAUCAUAAUAGUUACUCAAAAAUUGCUGACUUAAAUACAUGAAUGAGUGAAUAAAUGAAUUCUAUAGAGCAUAUUUCACAUUACACACUAGCAUGUGGACUUGGUCUUGGGGUAAAAGUGCCCAAUACUACAGUAAACAGCUGUCAUACUGUAUGGUCCAUAAGGACCAACCUAUAUCUAUCUCUUUCAUUUUUGUUAUAACCCCAGCACUGGGCACAAUACCCAGCUCAGAGUAAAGACUUAGUAAAGAAGAGUUGAUUGAAGGAGUGAAUGGAUCUGUCCCCUCAUCUUGACUUAAAAGGACAAAAUCCCUGGGCCAAAAACACCUUAAGAAAUAUGGUCAUUUGAUGAAACUGACCUUGAAACAGUGGAAGAUUUAGUUUUCUUGUCAUCUCACUCACCACAACAACACUCUAUUGCAACACCUUAUGACAUCCUGUGCUUUAUUUAGCAAGAUUAAACAGAUCCAAAAAUUAGAAGUAUGUGUGAUUUACCUGAUUUAUUUAUUUUAUAUCUCAUAUAGUAUUAUGUUCACAAAUAUAAUUUCACAAUUUCCCUAAACCAAAAAUUUAAUACUAUAAAUAAAUAUUAUAUACAAUUUAUCUGACUAGUUUAGCCAAGCAAAUACCGAAUAGCUUUCCAUAAGAACCUUGCAAAAUUGCUAAAAAACAUAUAACACAUGAUAUUUUGGCCAGUGCUGCAAUGAUUAUUUAUUUAAAUAUGUUUGUUAAUAAAUUUAUUUAUUUAUUUAGAGAUGGAGUCUCGCUCUGUUGCCCAGGCUGGAGUGGAGUGGUGCGAUCUCGGCUCACUGCAAACUACGCCUCCCGGGUUCACACCAUUCUCCUGCCUCAGCCUCCCAAGUAGCUGGGACUAUAGGUGCUUGCCACCAUGCCCGGCUAACUUUUUUGUAUUUUUAGUAGAGACGGGUUUUCACCGUGCUAGCCAGGAGGGUCUCCAUCUCCUGACCUCAUAAUCCACCUGCCUCGGCCUCCCAAAGUGCUGGGAUUACAGGCAUGAGCCACUGCACCAGGCCUAUAAAUUUAUUUUCUUAAGUUUGAAUGGUUCAGGCUCAGGUUCAGUUGUUGGAGUUUUUUUUCAUUGAAAAUAGAAAGACUUCCUUCUUCCAUUUAAUGUAGUCAUAGUUCUAAUAGUAUUUUGGAUACAAUAGAUUUAAAGUUUCUAAAUUACAAAAGUAAGUGAAAUGACCAAAUGAACUAAAAAAUGCCUUGCUUUAAUGCUUCUUAGACAUGUAAAAUCCUAAAAAUCUAAAAUAACCCUGAAGAAUAAGUAUAAAAUUAUUUAAUUUUAUUGUGAUGAAAAUACGAAUUAUUUUGACAUCUUUCUCAGUAGACCAGGAUAAAGGUUUGCUAAUUAGUCUGAUUCAGUACUUGCAUUAAAAAUAAUUUUAAAAUUACUUUCCUUUUGGUAUAUUUUCAGUGAUGAUUGGGCUUUGUGGUGUGCAUGGCUGGAUGGUGAUUGAAUGAAGACAAAAAAAAACAGUAAGAUUCCAAGAUUGCAGUGAAUUCGUCUGACCCAGAUACGACAGAAGAUCCUCUCUGGUGAAUAUGUGCAACCGUUCUGAACCUCUCUUUUGAAAACUUUACUCUUCUUCUGAUUUGAUUCCAUAAUUGGAAAUUAAAUGGAAACUCAUGCCUUCCUAAAA